UGGAGAUGCUGGGUAACGAUCCCAGUACCUCUCGCAUGCUAAGCGAGCGCUCUACCAUCUGAGCUACAUCCCC